GCUCUUUUAGCUAUUAACUUUGCUUGUAUUUCAUGUCAUCAUGAGGAGGAGUUCAAGGCAGGCUUUGUUCAUAGAGAGAAGACCCUGUAAAACCACCUCUCAAUUAUCAGUUUGCAGGGAGAGAAACUGAGGAAAGAUCGUGUCACCAGCAAUCUCUAGUUGUAACUGUCACCAUCCAACCCUCACGGCCAAGAUUUGCUAAGAAAUCGGAAGCGACUGGGACCAACGCCCUUGCCUUUUCCGUGGGUCUCUGAGCUCUGCCCAAGUCAUGAGCUGGGCUUCAGUGGCUUAUCCACAGGCUUCUUUCCUUCAUCUGAGAGGACGGGAUGGGUCGAGCUGGUUGUUGCCAGCUUCUUGACAGCAUUCCCAGAUAGGCGUGAUGUCCCUGCCAGGUGGUUGGAACAGGAAGAAUUUCGAGGGAGGAGUUCAUGUUGGAUCUCGUUCUCAUCACUAAUUAAACUCAGGAGGUAAUGGGUUACUAAUUUGUUGGUUCCUUUUAUCAUGUUACUGCCUUCUGAGGACCUGGGGGAUGAGGAGGUUACGUUAUUCUGGCUCCCAUCUGAU
rnacentral:lncRNA from 1 species